AAAGCCUCUAAGCAUCAGGUAACAUCAAAUCGUACCCCAAACCGACACAGGUGGUCAGGUAGAGAAUACCAAGGCGCUUGAGAGAACUCGGGUGAAGGAACUAGGCAAAAUGGUGCCGUAACUUCGGGAGAAGGCACGCUGAUAUGUAGGUGAAGCGACUUGCUCGUGGAGCUGAAAUCAGUCGAAGAUACCAGCUGGCUGCAACUGUUUAUUAAAAACACAGCACUGUGCAAACACGAAAGUGGACGUAUACGGUGUGACGCCUGCCCGGUGCCGGAAGGUUAAUUGAUGGGGUUAGCGGUAACGCGAAGCUCUUGAUCGAAGCCCCGGUAAACGGCGGCCGUAACUAUAACGGUCCUAAGGUAGCGAAAUUCCUUGUCGGGUAAGUUCCGACCUGCACGAAUGGCGUAAUGAUGGCCAGGCUGUCUCCACCCGAGACUCAGUGAAAUUGAACUCGCUGUGAAGAUGCAGUGUACCCGCGGCAAGACGGAAAGACCCCGUGAACCUUUACUAUAGCUUGACACUGAACAUUGAGCCUUGAUGUGUAGGAUAGGUGGGAGGCUUUGAAGUGUGGACGCCAGUCUGCAUGGAGCCGACCUUGAAAUACCACCCUUUAAUGUUUGAUGUUCUAACGUUGGCCCCUAAUCGGGGUUGCGGACAGUGUCUGGUGGGUAGUUUGACUGGGGCGGUCUCCUCCUAAAGAGUAACGGAGGAGCACGAAGGUUGGCUAAUCCUGGUCGGACAUCAGGAGGUUAGUGCAAUGGCAUAAGCCAGCUUGACUGCGAGCGUGACGGCGCGAGCAGGUGCGAAAGCAGGUCAUAGUGAUCCGGUGGUUCUGAAUGGAAGGGCCAUCGCUCAACGGAUAAAAGGUACUCCGGGGAUAACAGGCUGAUACCGCCCAAGAGUUCAUAUCGACGGCGGUGUUUGGCACCUCGAUGUCGGCUCAUCACAUCCUGGGGCUGAAGUAGGUCCCAAGGGUAUGGCUGUUCGCCAUUUAAAGUGGUACGCGAGCUGGGUUUAGAACGUCGUGAGACAGUUCGGUCCCUAUCUGCCGUGGGCGCUGGAGAACUGAGGGGGGCUGCUCCUAGUACGAGAGGACCGGAGUGGACGCAUCACUGGUGUUCGGGUUGUCAUGCCAAUGGCACUGCCCGGUAGCUAAAUGCGGAAGAGAUAAGUGCUGAAAGCAUCUAAGCACGAAACUUGCCCCGAGAUGAGUUCUCCCUGACUCCUUGAGGGUCCUGAAGGAACGUUGAAGACGACGACGUUGAUAGGCCGGGUGUGUAAGCGCAGCGAUGCGUUGAGCUAACCGGUACUAAUGAACCGUGAGGCUUAACCUU
rnacentral:rRNA from 1 species